UUUAUAUCUGGCGACGUACGCCCAUCAAACAAAUAUAUCUUUGCUCUUCACUCUGCAAAUGGAUUCAUUGGCUUUCUCCUGUACAAGUUCAGAUCAUCCAUAUUUUUGAAGAAGCAGAGGAAUAGGGGAGAUUGUGUGCUGUGUGAUGAAAAGUCUCGAGGAAUAUAUCAUGUUCUGUUAUUUUUCUCAUUGAUUUACUCUAUCAAGGUUCAUAAUUCUGUAGAAAAGGUGGGAGAUAUGGGUAGACUUGGAAAAAGUAUGAGAAGAAGAUUAGAGGUUCCUCCUCCAAGUCAAUCUUAGCAAGUUUGGCAGAGAUGAAGAUGGCAUGCAGGAGUAGAUAUUACAUGCCAAUCCAUUCAACAUUCAACAUUCAACAACUUACAAGAUUGUGAAUGGAAAAUCUCAUAACAAAUCCAUGCAACGCAUAAGACACAAUAUCUACUAACAAUGUUGCCUUCUUUUACACAUAAAAAAAAAAUACAUUUCAUGUGCAAUGAGAUUUAAUUAAAGGUUUAGUAUUUUUUUCCUACACUUCUCCAACAUUAUAGAGAU